ensembl:lncRNA
UGGCCAGGUCCUGUGCCGCUUGGUGAGUUUGGGGCUAAAGAAAUCGUGCGAUUUUGCGGCAAUUUUGGGGCUAAAAAUGACAAUUUUGGGCAAUUUUUGGGGCAGAAAUGAGGUUUUGAGGCGUUGAUUUUUGGGGGUUUUUUGGGGUGAUAUUGGGGGAUUUUAGGGGGGGGACCCAGUGAUGGUGGCCAGGGUCGUGUCUGCUAUGGUGAACUCAUUGGACGACAAUGGUGUUCUGGUUGGUAACUGGACCGGCGAUUACUCCCUCGGUACCAACCCGUCGUCGUGGGCCGGUUCCGUCGAGAUCCUUCGCUCUUAUCACCGCGGGGGGGCCCCGGUUCGAUACGGGCAGUGCUGGGUGUUCGCCGGCGUCGUCACCACCGGUACCGGAUCUAUGGGGUCUAUAUGGGGUCUAUGGGGUUCUGUUGGGUUUAUAUGGGGGUCUAUGGGGUUCUGUUGGGUUCUAUGGGGUUCUGUUGGGUUUAUAUGGGGCUUAUGGGGGGUCUAUGGGGUUCUGUUAUGGUUCUGUUGGGUCUAUGGGGGCUCUAUGGGGUUCUAUUGGGUCUAUAGGGUUCUGUUGGGUCUAUAUGGGAUCUAUGGGGUUCUGUUGGGUCUAUAUGGGGUCUAUGGGGUCUAUGGGGGUUCUAUGGAGUUCUGUUAUGGUUCUGUUGGGUCUAUAUGGGAUUCUAUGGGGUUCUGUUGGGUCUAUAUGGGGUUCUAUGGGGUUCUGUUGGGUUUACAUGGGGUUCUGUUGGGUCUAUAUGGGGUUCUAUGGGGUCUAUGGGGUUCGUCUCCACUGGUACCGGCCCAAUAACUGGUUCUGUUGGGUCUAUAUGGGGUCUAUGGGGUCUAUAUGGGGUCUAUGGGGUCCUAUUGGGGUUCUAUUGGGUCUAUAUGGGGUUCUGCUGGGUUUAUAUGGGGUCUAUGGGGUUCUGUUGGGGUUCUGUUGGGUCUAUAUGGGGUCUAUGGGGUCUAUAUGGGGUCUAUGGGGUUCUAUUGGGUCUAUAUGGGGUCUAUGGGGGGUCUAUGGGGUCUAUGGGGGGUCUAUGGGGUCUAUGGGGUCUAUGGGGUUCGUCACCACCGGUACCGGCCCAAUAUCCGGUUCUGUUGGGUCUAUGGGGGGUUCUAUGGGGUCUAUGGGGUUCUGUUGGGUCUAUAUGGGGUCUAUGGGGGGUCUAUGGGGUUCUAUGGGGUCCUGUUGGGUUCUAUGGGGUUCUGUUGGGUCUAUAUGGGGUUCUAUGGGGUUCUAUGGGGUUCUGUUGGGUUCUAUGGGGUUCUGUUGGGU